rnacentral:misc_RNA from 1 species
GCAAACUUGGUCAUUUAGAGGAAGUAAAAGUCGUAACAAGGUUUCCGUAGGUGAACCUGCGGAAGGAUCAUUACAGGGUUUUCAAAUGCCAAGGGGGUUUUUCUCCCCGAGGCAUGAUAACCAAGAUCAUCCACUGUGUGCACUCAUUGGAGUCAUUGGGAAAUUGAUUUUUCUGCAAUGGUUCCCAAACCUUUCUCUUUGCUUGAUAUCAUUUGUCUGAUCAAAUAAGAUUUGAAAAAUUAAUACAACUUUCAACAACGGAUCUCUUGGCUCUCGCAUCGAUGAAGAACGCAGC